ACUGUCAUGAAAUGAGCCUAGGGCAGAAAGAAUAAACAGAUAAAGUAUUGGGGUGCAGUGGCUAUCAAAGUAAAGCAGAGGAUAACAGUUUUGAAUAUACUGGUUUCUGGAUUCUGCAGUAAAAUUGCACCAGUCUCUACAAAAAGCUGGACAGGACCUGACAGUGCCUAAGACCUAAGCCUGGGGCCAAAGUCAAUAAACCACUCUAAGAAGGGAGUUUCUUUGUUUUCUAUGUAUGUGGAUUGAAAUAUUUCACAUGAAACUGAAUAAUAUAUUUAUGUGAAUAGAGGAAGGAAAAAAAAAAAAGCCUGACUGCCAUUUGCUAAAUCAGAAUCAGAAACUUCCUUUCCCAACUUAUCUGAUCAGAUGAGUACCUAAGGAGCAAUUAUU